GACGAACGCUGGCGGCGUGCUUAACACAUGCAAGUCGAACGGAAAGGCCCUGCUUUUGCGGGGUGCUCGAGUGGCGAACGGGUGAGUAACACGUGAGUAACCUGCCCUUGACUUUGGGAUAACUCUAGGAAACUGGGGCUAAUACCGGAUAGGAGCUCCUGCUGCAUGGUGGGGGUUGGAAAGUUUCGGCGGUUGGGGCUGGACUCGCGGCUUAUCAGCUUGUUGGUGGGGUAGUGGCUUACCAAGGCUUUGACGGGUAGCCGGCCUGAGAGGGUGACCGGCCACAUUGGGACUGAGAGACGGCCCAGACUCCUACGGGAGGCAGCAGUGGGGAAUAUUGCACAAUGGGCGGAAGCCUGAUGCAGCAACGCCGCGUGCGGGAUGACGGCCUUCGGGUUGUAAACCGCUUUCGCCUGUGACGAAGCGUGAGUGACGGUAAUGGGUAAGGAAGCACCGGCUAACUACGUG
rnacentral:rRNA from 1 species